UUUCAGAAGCGCAGCUCUCCUCCAACUUUAAUGUGCGCACGAGUCACUGGGGAUCUCGUUAAAAUGCAGAUUCUGACUCAGUGGGUCUGGGGUGGGGCCUGAGCUCCUGUAUUUCUAACGAGCUCCCAGGUGGCGCUGUGGCUGCUGCGCUGCACAGGCUGCGCUUUUAGAUUCGGACUUAAUUGGUCUGGGCUGGGACCUGGGCACUGGGAUGUUUUUUUAAAAAAGCCGUCUCCCUCCCUCACCACCCCCAUCACACACACAGGUCAUUCUGAUGUGCAUCCAAGCUGAGAAGCACGACCUCCACUCCUGGUUCUCAACCCUGCUGCAUACCCAAAUUUAAAUUUUAAAUGAGGAGUGUCUCCAACUGCAGGGAGAAAUGCAGAUUCCGAAAGUUCUGGAUUCAGGUGGCCGAGGCCAGAAAUGUGUGUUUUUAUAUAGCACGCGCCCGCUCCCGCCCCGUGACUCGGGCGCACCGGCUCUUGGACCACACAGGAGUGCUUUUGGGGCCAACCCGGCGCCGGCCCCGCCCAGCAGGUGACGGAGGCGUGGUCCUCGGGGGGUUGAGCUAAUUAGCGUUCAUGCUCAGACUGGCUGGGACCUCGAUGAGACCCGAGGGAGACCCCUCCUUGCGCCGCGUAAUUGACAUCCAAUGGGAAGCAAGAAAGCCACCUACAUCCCCCAGGUUGUGAAUCGACUUGGGAAUAUUUGUGUAAUGCCCGGUGAAGUCAUGUCAGGUUAAAUUUCCGAGACUUAAACUUUUUAAAAAACACAACGCUUCAAGUCUUCUUUGGGAUGUAUGUGUAGUUACACGGAUCUGUAAAGACAUUUGAAAAUAUAUACACGUGGCCGGGUGCGGUAGCUCACUCCUGUAAUCCCAGCACUUUGGGAGGCCGAGGUGGGCGGAUCACAUGAGGUUAGGAGUUCUAGACCAGCCUGGCCAACAUGAUGGAACCUUGUCUCUACUAAAAAUACAAAAAAUUAGCCGGGCAUGGUGGCGGACGCCUGUAAUCCCAGCUCCUGGGGAAGCUGAGGCAGGAGAAUCACUUGAACCCGGGAGGUGGAGCCGAGAUCGCGCCACUGCACUCCAGCCUGGGCGACAGAGUGAGACUCCAUCUCAAACAAACAAAAAAUAUAUAUGUAUAUAUACACACACGUUUAUCAUAUCUCCUUUUGAGGAGACUGGAUAAACAGUGGUUGCCUCUGGGGAAGUUGAAAGAGGGGUGCAUGGGGGGAUGGGAGACAUCUGAGACCCUCUUAUACUGCUUGAGGUGUGUACAUGUGUUUGCAUUUGCUUUGUUGUUAUUUCACCUCAGGUGUACACAAUCAAUUAUUGGUACAUGAGGCAUUAUUACUGGCCUAUUGUUAGCCUACACUUGCCUACAUUUUUUAGGCUGCUUGCUUGCACCUCUGUUUAUUAUGAUAUAAUAAGUACUAGGGAACCUACUGCCCCAAAGUAGGACCUUAACCACAACCUACAUCUCUCUUUAUAUGGCCUCCUGAUGUCCCCUCCCCUCCUCUGCCCUACAACUUAAGAAUCAACAGCCUGACUCCUACAG
rnacentral:lncRNA from 1 species